AUUGAACGCUGGCGGCAGGCCUAACACAUGCAAGUCGAACGGAGCGGCGGACGGGUGAGUAAUGUCUGGGAAACUGCCCGAUGGAGGGGGAUAACGUCCGGAAACGGGCGCUAAUACCGCAUACUAUCAGAUGAGCCCCUGUCGGAUUAGCUAGUUGGUGGGGUAAAGGCCUACCAAGGCGACGAUCCGUAACUGGUCUGAGAGGAUGAUCAGUCACACUGGAACUGAGACACGGUCCAGACUCCUACGGGAGGCAGCAGUGGGGAAUAUUGGACAAUGGGCGCAAGCCUGAUCCAGCCAUGCCGCGUGUAUGAAGAAGGUCUUCGGAUUGUAAAGCACUUUAAGUUGGGAGGCGUUACCAGCAGAAUAAGCACCGGCUAACUUCGUGCCAGCAGCCGCGGUAAUUC
rnacentral:rRNA from 1 species